GGAUGUGAAGGUGAUCUGGCUGAGACAUCCGUCGCCUCACUUAUCACCAGGGUUGAUUGGGCUGAUCUGGCUGGCUAGGCAGGAGUCCCCUUUCUCCCUCACUGCCCCAUGUGCGUCCCUCCAAAGCUGUACACUCAGUUGAGUAGGGUGCAGAAGACGACAUCUGACUGAGGAGGCUGGGUUCCUGGCUCAGGACACACGAGUAGGUGUGCUCUGCUGCUGGAACCUUCAAAGAGGCUCUCGGGAUUGACUUGUUGUUCUACAUUUCUGUAUGGAUUUAUUCCCAAGUGAACAUUAGAAAAAGGAAAAUUCAAAGAAAUUGACUACUCAUCUCC
ensembl:misc_RNA 7SK 7SK RNA